UGGGGAAUCUUCCGCAAUGGGCGCAAGCCUGACGGAGCAACGCCGCGUGGGUGAAGAAGGCCUUCGGGUUGUAAAGCCCUGUCUUAUGGGAAGAAGUCAGUGACGGUACCAUAGGAGGAAGCCACGGCUAACUACGUGCCAGCAGCCGCGGUAAUACGUAGGUGGCGAGCGUUGUCCGGAAUUACUGGGCGUAAAGGGCGCGCAGGCGGGUUUUUAAGUCAGAUGUGUAAUCUACAGGCUCAACCUGUAGUUUGGAUCUGAUACUGGAAAUCUUGAGUGCAGGAGAGGACAGUGGAAUUCCUAGUGUAGCGGUGAAAUGCGUAGAUAUUAGGAGGAACACCAGUGGCGAAGGCGGCUGUCUGGCCUGCAACUGACGCUGAGGCGCGAAAGCGUGGGUAGC
rnacentral:rRNA from 1 species